GGAGGAAAGCAGGGGAUCGCAAGACCUUGCACUUUUGGAGCGGCCGAUGUCUGAUUAGCUAGUUGGUGGGGUAAUGGCCUACCAAAGCUUCGAUCAGUAGCUGGUCUGAGAGGACGGCCAGCCACACUGGGACUGAGACACGGCCCAGACUCCUACGGGAGGCAGCAGUGGGGAAUUUUGGACAAUGGGCGCAAGCCUGAUCCAGCCAUGCCGCGUGAGUGAAGAAGGCCUUCGGGUUGUAAAGCUCUUUCAGCCGGGAAGAAACGGUCNCGGUUAAUAGCUGUGNCUAAUNACGGUACCGGAAGAAGNAGCACCGGCUANCUACGUGCCNGCAGCCGCGNUAACACGUANGGUGCGAGCGUUAAUCGGAAUUACCUGGGCCGUAAAGGGUGCCGCAGGCGGUUCUGUAAGUCAGCAUGUGAANUCCCCGACGCUUNACCCUGGGAACUUGNGNUUGANACUCGC
rnacentral:rRNA from 1 species